rnacentral:rRNA from 1 species
UACGUAGGGGGCAAGCGUUGUCCGGAAUUAUUGGGCGUAAAGGGCUCGUAGGCGGUUUCUUAAGUCUGAUGUGAAAGCCCACAGCUCAACUGUGGAGGGUCAUUGGAAACUGGGGAACUUGAGUGCAGAAGAGGAGAGUGGAAUUCCACGUGUAGCGGUGAAAUGCGUAGAUAUGUGGAGGAACACCAGUGGCGAAGGCGACUCUCUGGUCUGUAACUGACGCUGAGGAGCGAAAGCGUGGGGAG